rnacentral:rRNA from 1 species
GGCCUGGCUGGUCGGUCCGCCUAACCGCGUGCACUGAUUCGGCCGGGUCUUUCCUUCUGGCUAACCCCAUGCCCUUCACUGGGUGUGGCGGGGAUCCAGGACUUUUACUUUGAAAAAAUUAGAGUGUUCAAAGCGGGCGCACGCUUGCAUAGAUUAGCAUGGAAUAAUGGAAUAGGACUU